AUUGAACGCUGGCGGCAGGCCUAACACAUGCAAGUCGAGCGAGCGGCGGACGGGUGAGUAAUGUAUGGGGACUGCCCGAUAGAGGGGGAGAACUACUGGAAACGGUAGCUAAUACCGCAUACUAUCGGAUAACCCAUAUGGGAUUAGCUAGUAGGUGAGGUAAUGGCUCACCUAGGCGACGAGCCCUAGCUGGUCUGAGAGGAUGAUCAGCCACACGGGGAGUGAGACACGGCCCAGACUCCGAGGGAGGCGUCAGUGGGUAAUAUUGAACAAUGGGCGCAAGCCUGAUGCAGCCAUGCCGCGUGUAUGAAGAAGGCUCUAGGGUUGGAAAGUACGUUCAGUCGGGAGGCGUUACCGACAGAAUAAGCACCGGCUAACUCCGUGCCAGCAGCCGCGGUAAUUC
rnacentral:rRNA from 1 species